rnacentral:rRNA from 1 species
AACGAACGCUGGCGGCAGGCUUAACACAUGCGAGUCGAACGCCCCGCAAGGGGAGUGGCAGACGGGUGAGUAACGCGUGGGAAUCUACCGUACCCUACGGGACAACAGUUGGAAACGACUGCUAAUACCGUAUACGCCCUUAGGGGGAAAGAUUUAUCGGGGUAUGAUGAGCCCGCGUUGGAUUAGCUAGUUGGUGGGGUAAAGGCCUACCAAGGCGACGAUCCAUAGCUGGUCUGAGAGGAUGAUCAGCCACAUUGGGACUGAGACACGGCCCAAACUCCUACGGGAGGCAGCAGUGGGGAAUAUUGGACAAUGGGCGCAAGCCUGAUCCAGCCAUGCCGCGUGAGUGAUGAAGGUCUUAGGAUUGUAAAGCUCUUUCACCGAUGAAGAUAAUGACGGUAGUCGGAGAAGAAGCCCCGGCUAACAUCGUGCCAGCCGCCGCCGUAA